GGAGGAGUCGCAUAGUGGCCUAGUGCAGCUUCCUGCUAAGAAGCUGACUCCGGAAGGGGUCCGUGGGUUCGAAUCCCACCUCCUCCG
rnacentral:tRNA from 1 species